UUGCUUCCUGGUGGCGAGCGGCGGACGGAUGAGUAAUGCAUAGGAAUCUGCCCGGUAGUGGGGGAUAACCUGGGGAAACCCUGCUAAUACAGCAUACGUCCUACGCCUAGAAAGCGGGGGCUCUUCGGACCUUGCGCUAUCGGAUGAGCCUAUGUCGGAUUAGCUGGUUGGUGAGGUAAUGGCUCACCAAGGCGACGAUCCGUAGCUGGGCUGAGAGGAUGAUCAUCCACAUCGGGACUGAGACACGGCCCGAACUCCUACGGGAGGCAGCAGUGGGGAAUAUUGGACAAUGGGCGCAAGACUGAUCCAGCCAUGCCGCGUGUGUGAAGAAGGCCCUCGGGUUGUAAAGCACUUUCAGUGGGGAAGAACGCCUGGAGGUUAACACCCGUGAGGAUGGACAUCACCCACAGAAGAAGCACCGGCUAACUCCGUGCCAGCAGCCGCGGUAAUACGGAGGGUGCGAGCGUUAAUCUG
rnacentral:rRNA from 1 species